rnacentral:rRNA from 1 species
UACAGAGGGUGCGAGCGUUAAUCGGAAUUACUGGGCGUAAAGCGCACGUAGGUGGCGACGUAAGUCGGGUGUGAAAGCCCCGGGCUCAACCUGGGAAUUGCAUUCGAGACUGCAUUGCUGGAGUACGGAAGAGGAGGGCGGAAUUCCCGGUGUAGCGGUGAAAUGCGUAGAUAUCGGGAGGAACAUCAGUGGCGAAGGCAGCCUCCUGGGCCAACACUGACGCUCAUGCACGAAAGCGUGGGGAGCAAACAGG